AUCCGGCUGACGAGUCUCAAAUAGGACAAAACGAGCGUCCUGGAU
rnacentral:hammerhead_ribozyme from 1 species